UACGUAGGGGGCAAGCGUUGUCCGGAAUCAUUGGGCGUAAAGAGCGUGUAGGCGGCCCGAUAAGUCCGCUGUGAAAGUCCAGGGCUCAACCCUGGGAUGCCGGUGGAUACUGCCGGGCUCGAGUCCGGAAGAGGAGUGUGGAAUUCCUGGUGUAGCGGUGAAAUGCGCAGAUAUCAGGAGGAACACCAAUGGCGAAGGCAGCACUCUGGGACGUGACUGACGCUGAGACGCGAAAGCGUGGGGAGCGAACAGG
rnacentral:rRNA from 1 species